UGCACCUUCCCCUCCCUCCCCUCUGGAGAAGCACCUUUUUGGGGGUUCCAUUAUAAACGUCUACCCCCUUCUGGCACCUUGCAAUCACUCCGUGUGUGGAGGGCAGGGGAAGGCCAGGCUGCUUAGGCUAGCCUGUGUUUGGCUGUGACUGAGUGAAUGUUAUGAUUUGGGGAUUGUUCAUUUCUUAUUUUUAAUUUUAAUUUUUUUUUUUCUUCAAUUUCGUGUUUCUAAGACAUCUUUCCAAUCUCCAAACUAAGGCAGGUCCUUUUUAAAGGGUAAUGUUGUAGUGAGGCUUAAUGAUCUGACUGUGACCUGAGAUAUAAAAAAAAAAAAAAAAAAAGACAGACGAGAGAGAAAGGGGCGUGUCUAAUGAGGAAAAGGGUUGGAGCUGACCGAUGUUCUACCUCUCUCUCAUUUUCAAAUGCAGUCAUUUGGGUCUUUUCGUUCACCUCUUGGGUGUACUCUUCCACAGAUACCCUUUUCCUAAACCCUGAUUUAGGGGGUCUGGGCAGAAUCUUUGGCAGAGAUCCACACAUCACAUGUGGACUCCUUAUGCAGCCAGAGGUAUCAUUCACUGACUUACGGAGGUGUGCUCGAGAUUAUGUGUGGCUGUGUGGAGCACAUCCGCUUCGCUCCUCACCUAUCCAGGUAGGAGCCUUGGCUAGUUUAACCCCUGACGUGCAGAAUUUGCUCACAGUACAUGGAAAGUUGCAGGGCAGUUUCAAAACAACAACAACAACAACAGCAUCUCGUGCGAUGGUAUGCUAUAGAAUGAAAAUAACAGUCGAAGAAAUGAAUGGUAGUAUUAUCAAGCUAACCUCAGACAGGAAAGUACAAAACUGCUUGCUGAAGCACACACUGACAGACAAGGCUAAACAAAAUAUGGGGUGUUGAUUUGUUUUUGUUUGUUUGUUUUUUUGUAAGAUGCAACCUCUUUGGCGGUGUGUCUGGGGGGUCAACAGAUCCCAGAUUCACUCUUUAUAUAAAUAUAUAGAGAUAUACAUAUAUAAAUAUAUAUACUGUAUAUUAUACAUAGAAGCACUACUGAAGUUUGAUUGUUCAUUGUGCACUCACAGC
ensembl:lncRNA